GAGUUUGAUCCUGGCUCAGGAUGAACGCUGGCGGCGUGCUUAACACAUGCAAGUCGAACGAACCUUCGGGUUAGUGGCGGACGGGUGAGUAACGCGUGGGAAUCUGCCCUCAGGAGGGGGAUAACGGCUGGAAACGGCCGCUAAUACCCCAUAUGCCGAGAGGUGAAAUGAAUUUCGCCUGAGGAUGAGCCCGCGUCUGAUUAGCUAGUUGGUGAGGUAAGAGCUCACCAAGGCAUCGAUCAGUAGCUGGUCUGAGAGGAUGAUCAGCCACACUGGGACUGAGACACGGCCCAGACUCCUACGGGAGGCAGCAGUGGGGAAUUUUCCGCAAUGGGCGAAAGCCUGACGGAGCAACGCCGCGUGAGGGAUGAAGGCCUCUGGGCUGUAAACCUCUUUUCUCAAGGAAGAAGAUCUGACGGUACUUGAGGAAUAAGCCACGGCUAAUUCCGUGCCAGCAGCCGCGGUAAUACGGGAGUGGCAAGCGUUAUCCGGAAUUAUUGGGCGUAAAGCGUCCGCAGGCGGCCCUUCAAGUCUGCUGUUAAAAAGUGGAGCUUAACUCCAUCAUGGCAGUGGAAACUGUUGGGCUUGAGUGUGGUAGGGGCAGAGGGAAUUCCCGGUGUAGCGGUGAAAUGCGUAGAUAUCGGGAAGAACACCAGUGGCGAAGGCGCUCUGCUGGGCCAUAACUGACGCUCAUGGACGAAAGCCAGGGGAGCGAAAGGGAUUAGAUACCCCUGUAGUCCUGGCCGUAAACGAUGAACACUAGGUGUCGGGGGAAUCGACCCCCUCGGUGUCGUAGCCAACGCGUUAAGUGUUCCGCCUGGGGAGUACGCACGCAAGUGUGAAACUCAAAGGAAUUGACGGGGGCCCGCACAAGCGGUGGAGUAUGUGGUUUAAUUCGAUGCAACGCGAAGAACCUUACCAGGGUUUGACAUCCUGCGAACUUCUUGGAAACGAGAGGGUGCCUUCGGGAACGCAGUGACAGGUGGUGCAUGGCUGUCGUCAGCUCGUGUCGUGAGAUGUUGGGUUAAGUCCCGCAACGAGCGCAACCCACGUCUUUAGUUGCCAGCAUUUAGUUGGGCACUCUAGAGAGACCGCCGGUGAUAAACCGGAGGAAGGUGUGGAUGACGUCAAGUCAUCAUGCCCCUUACAUCCUGGGCUACACACGUACUACAAUGCUACGGACAAAGAGCAGCAAGUUCGCGAGGACAAGCAAAUCUCAUAAACCGUGGCUCAGUUCAGAUCGUAGGCUGCAACUCGCCUACGUGAAGGAGGAAUCGCUAGUAAUCGCAGGUCAGCAUACUGCGGUGAAUACGUUCCCGGGCCUUGUACACACCGCCCGUCACACCAUGGAAGUUGGCCACGCCCGAAGCCGUUACUCCAACCCUCGGGAGGAGGACGUCGAAGGUGGGGCUGAUGACUGGGGUGAAGUCGUAACAAGGUAACCGUA
rnacentral:rRNA from 1 species